rnacentral:rRNA from 1 species
UCGCCUGUUUAUCAAAAACAUGUCCUCUUGAAUUAUAAUUUGAGGUCUGACCUGCCCACUGAGAGUAUUCUUAAAGGGCCGCGGUAUUUUGACCGUGCAAAGGUAGCAUAAUCAUUAGUCUUUUAAUUGAAGGCUAGAAUGAAUGGUUGGACGAGGUAUUGACUGUCUCGGUAUAGAUGAUAUUAGAAUUUAACUUUUGAGUGAAAAGGCUUAAAUGGUUUUAAAGGACGAGAAGACCCCAUAGAGCUUUAUAAUAAGUUUUUUAUAAUUUGUUUAGGAGAAUUAUUAUUAUAUUGAACUAAUUAUUUUGUUGGGGUGACAGGAAGAUUUAUUUAACUCUUUUUAUUAGUUAAACAUUUAUGUAUGAAUUUUUGAUCCAUUUUUAUUGAUUAAAAGUCUAAGUUACCUUGGGGAUAACAGCGUAAUCUUUUUUGAGAGUUCUUAUCGACAAAAAGGGUUGCGACCUCGAUGUUGGAUUAAGGGUAAUUUUGGGUGUAGAUGUUCAAAGUUUGGGUCUGUUCGACCCUUAAAUCCUUACAUGAUCUGAGUUCAAACCGGAGA